GGAAACAAACAGGAGGAGCUGGAAGCUACUGUGCUUCUUGAAAACCACCAUAUAGUUGUCAUCACCGAAACCUGGUGGGACGAUUCCCAUGACUGGAGACAGGCAAGGAAGGAGAGGUGGGGGAAUUGCAAUCUACACCAGCAAAGGAACAGAAUGUGAAGAGCUGUCCCUAAAGAACAGGCAUGAGCAAGUUGAAAGCCUGUGGGUGACGGUUAGAGACUGAGGCAGCAAAGGGAGCCUUGUGAUGGGUGUCUAGUACAAGCCACCAGAUCAGUCAAGGUGUGUCAAUGAGGCUUUCUACCUGCAGCUACGGAGGCAUUGCGAUCGCAAGCACAUGUCCUGCUGGGGGACUUCAUCCAGACAUCUGCUGGAAAAGUAGCACAGUGAGCUGCAGGCAAUCCAGGAGGCUCCUGGAAUGCACUGAGGACAACCUCCUAAGUCAAGUAAUUGACGGCCCCACCAGGGCGUAUACAAUACUGGACCUGUUGCUCACCAGUAUGAAUGAACUGAUUGGUGACAUCAGGAUUGGAGGCUGCCUGGGCUGUAGUGACCAUGCUAUGGUUGAAUUCAUGCUCUGGAGGGAUAUGACGCAAGUGAAGAGUAAAAUUAGGAAGCUAAACUUAAGGAAAGCUAAACUCCAGCUCUUCAGGGAGUUAAUCAGCAAAACACCCUGGGAAACCAUCCUCAUGGGCAAGGGUGAGGAGCAGAGCUGGCAGAUCUUUAAGGAGGUUUUCUUCAGGGCACAAGAGCUCUCCAUCCCCAGGUGUAGCAAGUCAGGAAAGGAAGGCAAGAGACUGUCAUGGCUGAACUGGGACCUGCCGGUCAAACUGGAGAGCAAGAAGAAAAUGCACAGGCAGUGGAAACAGGGACAGGUAUCACAGGAAGACUAUAAAGAAUCUGCUAGGCUGUGUGGGCAUGGGGUCAAGAAAGCCAAGGCCCAGCUUGAACUGAACAUAACUAGGGAUUCCAAAAAGAACAAGAAAGGCUUCUACAGGUACUUCAACCAGAAAAGGAAAGUUCAGGAGGGCAUACCUUCCCUAGUGAGUGACACAUGCAGGCUGGUAAAUAGAGACAAGGAGAAGCCUGAGGUACUUAACAACUUUUUUGCCUUAGUCUUUCCUAAUAACUGCACACCACACAGCCCUCAAAUGUUUGGUUUCGUAGGAGGGGAUCGAGGAAGCAACGUCCUUCCCACUGUAAGCGAAGAUCAGGUGUGACCACCUGAGGAACCUGAACAUCCACAAGUCUAUGGGUUCCAAUGACAUGCAUCCCAGAGUCCUGAGGGAAUUGCUUGAUGUAG
rnacentral:lncRNA from 1 species